GAUGAACGCUGGCGGCGUGCCUAAUACAUGCAAGUCGAGCGAACAGACGAGGAGCUUGCUCCUCUGACGUUAGCGGCGGACGGGUGAGUAACACGUGGAUAACCUACCUAUAAGACUGGGAUAACUUCGGGAAACCGGAGCUAAUACCGGAUAAUAUAUUGAACCGCAUGGUUCAAUGGUGAAAGACGGUUUUGCUGUCACUUAUAGAUGGAUCCGCGCCGCAUUAGCUAGUUGGUAAGGUAACGGCUUACCAAGGCAACGAUGCGUAGCCGACCUGAGAGGGUGAUCGGCCACACUGGAACUGAGACACGGUCCAGACUCCUACGGGAGGCAGCAGUAGGGAAUCUUCUGCAAUGGGCGAAAGCCUGACGGAGCAACGCCGCGUGAGUGAUGAAGGUCUUCGGAUCGUAAAACUCUGUUAUUAGGGAAGAACAAAUGUGUAAGUAACUAUGCACGUCUUGACGGUACCUAAUCAGAAAGCCACGGCUAACUACGUG
rnacentral:rRNA from 1 species